rnacentral:rRNA from 1 species
GUCGAACGCUGGCGGCAGGCCUAACACAUGCAAGUCGAGCGGAUCGCCGGAAGGGUGAGUAAUGCCUAGGUAUCUGCCUGGUAGUGGGGGAUAACGUCCGGAACCGGGCGCUAAUACCGCAUCCUCUCAGAUGAGCCUAGGUCGGAUUAGCUAGUUGGUGGGGUAAAGGCCUACCAAGGCGACGAUCCGUAACUGGGCUGAGAGGAUGAUCAGUCACAUUGGAACUGAGACACGGUCCAGACUCCUACGGGAGGCAGCAGUGGGGAAUAUUGGACAAUGGGCGAAAGCCUGAUCCAGCCAUGCCGGGUGUAUGAAGAAGGUCUUCGGAUUGUAAAGCACUUUAAGUUGGGAGGCGUUACCCACAGAAUAAGCACCGGCUAACUUCGUGCCAGCAGCCGCGGUAAUAC